UUGGCUCCAGCAGGCCUGAUGUUGAAAGA
rnacentral:piRNA from 1 species